AGUAUUAUGGCCGAGUGGUCUAAGGCGUCUGACUUAAGAUCAGAUCCUCGUAAGAGGGCGUGGGUUCGAACCCCACUAAUACUA
rnacentral:tRNA from 1 species